rnacentral:rRNA from 1 species
AGUGAACGCUGGCGGUAGGCCUAACACAUGCAAGUCGAACGGCAGCACAGUAAGAGCUUGCUCUUACGGGUGGCGAGUGGCGGACGGGUGAGGAAUACAUCGGAAUCUACUUUUUCGUGGGGGAUAACGUAGGGAAACUUACGCUAAUACCGCAUACGACCUACGGGUGAAAGCAGGGGAUCUUCGGACCUUGCGCGAUUGAAUGAGCCGAUGUCGGAUUAGCUAGUUGGCGGGGUAAAGGCCCACCAAGGCGACGAUCCGUAGCUGGUCUGAGAGGAUGAUCAGCCACACUGGAACUGAGACAACGUCCAGACUCCUAAGGGAGGCAGCAGUGGGGAAUAUUUGACAAUGGGCGCAAGCCUGAUCCAGCCAUACCGCGUGGGGUAAGAAGGCCUUUGGGUUGUAAAGCCCUUUUGUUGGGAAAGAAAAGGAGCAGGUUAAUACCCCGCCUUUCUGACGGUACCCAAAGAAUAAGCACCGGCUAACUUCGUG